UUAUCUAAUGAGGAGAGCAGGAGAAAAGGGUUAGGUAAAAAUUGUUGUGUGUGAUUGGCACUGUUAAAAUGGAUGGAAGAAGCAAGUAUUAAAUACUAUGCAGUUCAGUGAGUGCUAGCUUGCAGUAUGAAAAUGUUGGCUGGACAAGAUGUAUUUUGACCUUAGGGUUUUGGUUCUUAAUGUUUUCUUAGUGAGGUUUUUUACACUCAGAUGCUCAGAGGUCUGGUACUUAUUAUCUUCUGAAGAAAGGGCACAGGUUUUUGCAAGCGACUUGAGCUCAUAUCAGCACUGAGAUCACAGUGCAUGAUGUAAAUGUUGACAGGCUGGAGUUUAGCAGGCAAAACAUGAAGCAAGGCAAAUGAAGAUGCUUCAUGUGAGAGUAUGACGUAGCCCCAUCUAAGGCACGAGAUGAUAUAUUGCUUGCUGAGCUGACUGAGAAAACAACGGCGCCUAAAUAAAGCUGUGAAUCAUCCUCCUGUCUCACACCACUUCCACUGCAGUAGCUUCCCUUCUGAAAAAAAAAUGUGGCAAAUCCUUUGAUUGCAAAUAUUGCGAAUAAACAUGUCAGUCCUGGCAACUCUUUGGACAGACGGUAGAUGUUACUUGUUGUUCCCAUUCAAGACAUUUGACUGCUAAGAUGGAAAAUCCCAGCAUUUGAAACCCCAGGCAUGUUUAUUCUUAUGCCAAUAAUGCAAAAUGGCAUAUUGGAUGCAAGUAGGAAGAAGAGUCUCCAAAGGUGUAGGACUGUAUAAAUGAUGCCAUCGUACUGAAGGACAAGGACCACUUUGAGGACUUUUCUUAUAUCACUCCAGCUUUCUCCUUCUGAGUGCAGAGUGCAAAAAGCCACAAAUUGAUGGAACUUGCCAGCUUAGGGAGUAAAUUGGCAGAAUGAAAGACAUUUGUUGAAUGCUGCCUCUGUGGUAGAGGGAAAACAAGUGUGAUAGAACAGUCAAUGUGAAUGAUCACAGGAGAAAUUUAAUAUAUGUGACUCCAUG